rnacentral:lncRNA from 1 species
AGCUCCACUGGUUGUUUUUAUAAUUUUUACCAACCUUCAAUUCUUGUAUCGGUGAGUAAUGUGAUAUUCUUACUGCACUAGUGUAGCUCACCCUUUCAUUAACUAUUUCAAAUCAAGAUGGUCAAGAUUCAGAUCCCGAUCAACAAGAGGGUUGUAAAUAAUUCACCUCCUGGACUCCCUUCAAAAGCUAGUGAAGGUCGUCCUAAAAUGCUCAGUUGUUUAUUUUUCGCUUAUUUCUUUAAUUUUCGUUUGUUCUUUUUGAAAUGGACAUUCCUAUAGCCCUAUUGGGUAUUCUAAACUAUUAUGUAAAGAAUGUAAACCCUAACUCUAUUAUUUUGAUUUCGCAUUUAAUUAUUACUUUAUUUCAUUUUAAGUUCCAGACCUU